rnacentral:rRNA from 1 species
UACGAAGGGAGCAAGCGUUGUUCGGAUUUACUGGGCGUAAAGAGCGCGUAGGCGGUUUAGUAAGUUAGAAGUGAAAGCCCCGGGCUUAACUCGGGAAUUGCUUUUAAGACUGCUAGACUCGAGUAUGGAAGAGGUUGGUGGAAUUCCCAGUGUAGAGGUGAAAUUCGUAGAUAUUGGGAAGAACAUCAGUGGCGAAGGCGGCCAACUGGUCCAUAACUGACGCUGAGGCGCGAAAGCGUGGGGAGCAAACAGG